AAUGGUGUUGGUAGUGAGGAUAUAGAUGUUUGGGUAGACCACAAACAGAAUUUGUUUACGUGAACCUGGAUCACCACCAGUCACUUGAAACUGAAAAAUGUUAUUUCCCUUUGAUUACUUAAUGAAGACAGAAUGUCUGGACCAGUAAUGACCUCCUAAGAUACUGACACUCUGUGAGGUACUAUCUGAGGCAAACAGGACUUCUUGGACAUCUCUUUGACCACAAUAUGGCACCAUACCAGGAAUCUGAGGAAGCAGAGGUUCCACAUGGUUUGCUGAAAAUUCAAGGGGAAAACAACAUCUGAACUGAAAAUGCUUAACUCAGAGCUCUCCUCAAAUAGUAAAUACUAUUUCAGAAACGGUUGGUAAGCUUUGGCAAGACGCUGCCCUCAGAAAGAACCAUGGCAGCUGAGAAAUAGCAAGUACCAGGAAAAAGGUUGCCCAGGGUCGAAUUCUUCAAUAUGCUCCAAACCAGAAGUACACAAUCUCGU